UUGCACUGUUCGUGACCUGUUGGCAGCCACUUUCUGAUGAUGGGUUCCAUUCCAGUGCUACAGUAACAUCCCAGAGUUCAUCCGGAUUGACUCGUGUCUCUCUGGAUUGACACUGGGGGGACAGCU
ensembl:snoRNA